rnacentral:lncRNA from 1 species
ACAUCUAUUCAGUGCUAAACUUAUAUAAUCGCUCUAUGUAAUAUAUAUACCCAUCCUCCUUUUAAUGCACUAUCAAAUAUGCAUACUGAAUCUGUUCUCAUCUAUGUAAUAAUAAAUAAAAGUAUUUUGAUUCUUUUGUAUGACAUAUCUAUAUUAAACUCCUAUACCUGAGCCUUUCCAAUACAAAGAUUUGACAUAUUUUAGUGCAUUUCACAAUCCACUAGUAUGUAAGUAUCCGACAGAUCUAUUCCUAUCACAGAAAAAACAAACGUCAGCUAAAAGAAAGAAAAACAAUAAAAAUAUUCCCCUUUUUGACCUGGAUGACAUAGACAUGCAGGUGGUAGAUUAGCUGAUGAUGCUAGUGCCCACUCAAC